rnacentral:ncRNA from 1 species
GCUCAUGUUAGUUAGAACAAGGUCAGUCGGAGAAACUAUAAGAGAACACUGUUGGCCAGACUGUCCUUUCUGCUGGAACAGCCUUUGCUGAAAAUAGUACUACUACUACUUAAAAACCCAAACCAACAAAAACUAAUGCUUUAGAGUGAAGUCAUUGAGAAAAUUGAUACAUUUUUCUGAAGAAAUCAAAGUGUUCAAAGCUGGCUGGCCAACAGUGCCCUCCAGCCAGGAAUAACAGAAAAGGAUGCUGGCUCUUUUUCUUUGUUGUUUUUUGGAAGCAGGGGCAUGAUUAAGAGCAAUGACUGGGAACAUUCAUAUUGUGUCACUUGAACUGGAAUUCUUGGACCAGUGCAAGAUGAACUAAAGCAAACGUGUUUGCCAGCAAUAUUUUCAUUAAUCAAGAAC